UACGGAGGGUGCAAGCGUUAUCCGGAUUUACUGGGUUUAAAGGGUGCGCAGGCGGAUAUGUAAGUCAGUGGUGAAAUCUUUGGGCUUAACCCGAAAAUUGCCAUUGAUACUAUAUAUCUUGAAUGCUGUGGAGGUAAGCGGAAUAUGUCAUGUAGCGGUGAAAUGCGCAGAUAUCAGGAGGAACACCGGUGGCGAAGGCGGGUCUCUGGGCAACAACUGACGCUGAGGAGCGAAAGCGUGGGGAGCGAACAGG
rnacentral:rRNA from 1 species